GACGAACGCUGGCGGCGUGCUUAACACAUGCAAGUCGAACGGAAAGGCCCUGCUUUUGUGGGGUGCUCGAGUGGCGAACGGGUGAGUAACACGUGAGUAACCGCCCUUGACCUUGGGAUAACUUUAGGAAACUGGGGCUAAUACCGGAUAGGAGCCCCUGCCGCCUGGGGGGGGUUGGAAAGUUUCGGCGGUUGGGGAUGGACUCGCGGCUUAUCAGCUUGUUGGUGGGGUAGUGGCUUACCAAGGCUUUGACGGGUAGCCGGCCUGAGAGGGUGACCGGCCACAUUGGGACUGAGAUACGGCCCAGACUCCUACGGGAGGCGGCAGUGGGGAAUAUUGCACAAUGGGCGGAAGCCUGAUGCAGCAACGCCGCGUGCGGGAUGACGGCCUUCGGGUUGUAAACCGCUUUCGCCUGUGACGAAGCGUGAGUGACGGUAAUGGGUAAAGAAGCACCGGCUAACUACGUG
rnacentral:rRNA from 1 species